ACGAACGCUGGCGGCAUGCCUAACACAUGCCAGUCGAACGAGACCUUCGGGUCUAGUGGCGCACGGGUGCGUAACGCAUGGGAACCUGCCCUUAGGUUCGGAAUAACUCCCCGAAAGGGGUGCUAAUACCGGAUAAUGUCUUCGGACCAAAGAUUUAUCGCCUUUGGAUGGGCCCGCGUUGGAUUAGCUAGUUGGUAGGGUAAAAGCCUACCAAGGCGACGAUCCAUAGCUGGUCUGAGAGGAUGAUCAGCCACACUGGGACUGAGACACGGCCCAGACUCCUACGGGAGGCAGCAGUGGGGAAUAUUGGACAAUGGGCGAAAGCCUGAUCCAGCAAUGCCGCGUGAGUGAUGAAGGCCUUAGGGUUGUAAAGCUCUUUUACCCGGGAUGAUAAUGACAGUACCGGGAGAAUAAGCUCCGGCUAACUCCGUG
rnacentral:rRNA from 1 species